AGGGUGGUAUGGGAAUGAAAGUGUUUGUGUGUGUGUGUGUGUGUGUGUGUGUGUGUGUGUGUGUGUGUAUGAGAGAGACAAAGAGGGACAGAGGCAGAGAGAGGCAGGCUUCUAUUUGUGUCCACAGAUCUUUCCUUGGCCUUUGGCUCCCAGGGACACCCUUCCCAGAGCUCUUGGCCUAGCUCUGAACUCUAUGGGCCUCUCCCUGCUCCCCUCUGGGCUCGGAGCUUCUGCACUUCAGCCCCACAAGUGUUUCCCUGUUCCUGCAGCAGCUCCCCGCCUGGACUUUGUUCUUCCGAAGACUGCCCUAAGCUUGGCCUCCAGAAGGACACUUGAUCCCAUCCCAUGGCUGGCAGUGGCGCGCAGCCCUUGGAGCAGCUGCAAGGAUGGUGUUGACUCCAGAUGGAAAGUGUUUCGAGAAUUCUGACGUGACAUCAUCACGACAUUGCACUGACAGUAACUGAUCUGGGAGUGGCCAGGCCAGUCACCAUGCCUGAGGAUGCUCCAGCAGCUCUACGGAGAAGUCCGUGAACGGAGGAGCUGAGACCUUCUGCCAAUAGCCGUGUGUGGAAGUCAUUUCAGACAGACAUGGAUCUUCCAGCCCCAGUCAAGUCUCCACAUGACUAAAGAUCCUGCCAACAUCUUGACUGCAACCCGAGGAACCACCCAAGCCAGAACCCCCCAGCUAAGCCACUUUCAAAUUCCUGAUUUACAGAAGCCAUGAGCUAAUAAAUGUUGAUUGUUUGAAGCCACCAAGUUUUGGGGUGAUAUGCUAUGUGGCCAGGGCUGGGACUAGGGUGAAGUAAGUGAGGAACCCAGGGCAUAAAAUUUGAGGCCCAACCCUGAGAGUGAGCUUCUCUGUAAAUUGUGUGCUUUAGGUUCCUCACUCACUUCCCUGUUGUCUCGACCUUGUGUCUGGCACUACAUCACCUUCCAUGCCUCUUCCCAUUUCCCAACAUUCUCCAGCUUGCCCUUGGGGAUCCUUGGGGUUCUGAAGAAGCUGACUCCAUCGCUGGUUCCAAGGGUGGGGUUUGUGACUAAGCCGGUCCGCGCAUUCCAGUAGCCUUAGGUCUCAGCGACUAGAUCAGCUGUGGCCUGUGACCUAGUCCUGUCCAACCACAGGAGAGAGCAUUUUGUGAAGGAUGCUGGGACAGAUAUGAUUCCACUCUUGUCAUCAAACAAGGCAAAGGAAAGCACAAAUGUGAUGUUAAACACACAGAGGAGACCCCACAUCAGUUACUCAUACAGAUGCUGCCAAGGAUCCAGCUGUUUCCCACUGUGCAGAGCUCAGCAAGGACGUUGCUGCAUGUUCUGGUGCCAGAAGAGUUCAGACCUACAGAAGCUUCACAUUGGCAGGUGCUUCCAUGGUUGCAGAGGCAGGGGAAGGAAAUUCAGCCAACUGCUCAUCAGCUAUUAAGGCUUCUGCCCAGAGGUGACACAUGACUCUUCUGCUUACAAUUUACAUCCGUGCCUGAUUUUAAAGGUGGAAGAGUCUUGCCAUGCUACUGUAUGCAUGAAAAGAGGAGAAACAGGAAUGUUUGUGGUCACUCUUACUCAUGUCCAGAGAGAGGGCAGCUGCUGGUCCCUAGAGCCACUUCAGGCUCCAGAAGUUUGGAGUUCAUGAGGCUCUGCUGCAUUGUGGCCCAAGAUCUUCAUCACCCUUACAGCUCCACACAUGCCUUACAAAGCCCACCAGCCUCUACACACACCUUUGCUUAUUUCUUGUAACUUAAGACCUCACUCCAGGGACUUCAUAUUUCCUUUGAAUGCUCCUUUCUCAACUGGGGACUCCCUCUCUCAGAAAC